rnacentral:rRNA from 1 species
GAUGAACGCUGGCGGCGUGCCUAACACAUGCAAGUCGAACGGAGUCCAGCCUUUAAGACCUUCGGGUCAAAGAGGGGAAGACUGAGUGGCGGACGGGUGAGUAACACGUGGGCAACCUGGCUCAUAGAGGGGGAUAACAGAGAGUAAUUUCUGCUAAUACCGCAUAAGCACACACUGCCGCAUGGCAGAGGGUGAAAAGAGAAUCGCUAUGAGAUGGACCCGCGUCUGAUUAGCCAGUUGGCAGGGUAAGAGCCUACCAAAGCGACGAUCAGUAGCCGAUCUGAGAGGAUGAACGGCCACAUUGGGACUGAGACACGGCCCAAACUCCUACGGGAGGCAGCAGUGGGGGAUAUUGCACAAUGGGGGGAACCCUGAUGCAGCGACGCCGCGUGAGUGAAGAAGUAUUUCGGUAUGUAAAGCUCUAUCAGCAGGGAAGAUAAUGACAGUACCUGAAUAAGAAGCCCCGGCUAACUACGUG